UCGAGAAUCUUCGGCAAUGGGGGAAACCCUGACCGAGCGACGCCGCGUGCGAGAUGAAGGCCUUCGGGUUGUAAAUCGCUGUCGUAGAGGAGGAAAUGUAGGUGGGUUCUCCCAUCUAUUUGACCUAUUCUAGGAGGAAGGACGGGCUAAGUUCGUGCCAGCAGCCGCGGUAAUACGGACCGUCCAAACGUUAUUCGGAAUUACUGGGCUUAAAGGGUGCGUAGGCGGUCCGGGAAGUUGGGUGUGAAAUGCCUCGGCUCAACCGAGGAACUGCGCCCAAAACUGCCGGGCUCGAGGGAGACAUAGGUGUGCGGAACUUAGGGUGGAGCGGUGAAAUGCGUUGAGAUCCUAGGGAACACCAGUAGCGAAAGCGGCACACUGGGUCUUUUCUGACGCUGAUGCACGAAAGCCAGGGGAGCGAAGAG
rnacentral:rRNA from 1 species